rnacentral:rRNA from 1 species
AUUGAACGCUGGCGGCAUGCCUUACACAUGCAAGUCGAACGGUAACAGAUCUUCGGAUGCUGACGAGUGGCGAACGGGUGAGUAAUACAUCGGAACGUGCCUAGUAGUGGGGGAUAACUACUCGAAAGAGUGGCUAAUACCGCAUGAGAUCUACGGAUGAAAGCAGGGGAUUGCAAGACCUUGUGCUACUAGAGCGGCCGAUGGCAGAUUAGGUAGUUGGUGGGAUAAAAGCUUACCAAGCCGACGAUCUGUAGCUGGUCUGAGAGGACGAUCAGCCACACUGGGACUGAGACACGGCCCAGACUCCUACGGGAGGCAGCAGUGGGGAAUUUUGGACAAUGGGCGCAAGCCUGAUCCAGCAAUGCCGCGUGCAGGAUGAAGGCCUUCGGGUUGUAAACUGCUUUUGUACGGAACGAAAAGCCCUGGGUUAAUACCCUGGGGUCAUGACGGUACCGUAAGAAUAAGCACCGGCUAACUACGUGCCAGCCGCCGCCGUAAAGA